GUCAGCAUGGGGCAAUGGUUUGAGCAUUGGACUAUGACUCUGGAGACCAGUGUUCAAAUCUCCGUUCAGCCA